GGGGGGAUCCAAUUAUAGUUGGCGGGCUGGACCUCUCGGGGUUACAGCCUUGCUGAAUUAUUCACCCUUGUCUUUUGCGUACUUCUUGUUUCCUUGGUGGGUUCGCCCACCACUAGGACAAACAUAAACCUUUUGUAAUUGCAAUCAGCGUCAGUAACAAAUUAAUAAUUACAACUUUCAACAACGGAUCUCUUGGUUCUGGCAUCGAUGAAGAACGCAGCGAAAUGCGAUAAGUAGUGUGAAUUGCAGAAUUCAGUGAAUCAUCGAAUCUUUGAACGCACAUUGCGCCCUUUGGUAUUCCAAAGGGCAUGCCUGUUCGAGCGUCAUUUGUACCCUCAAGCUUUGCUUGGUGUUGGGCGUCUUGUCUCUAGCUUUGCUGGAGACUCGCCUUAAAGUAAUUGGCAGCCGGCCUACUGGUUUCGGAGCGCAGCACAAGUCGCACUCUCUAUCAGCAAAGGUCUAGCAUCCAUUAAGCCUUUUUUUCAACUUUUGACCUCGGAUCAGGUAGGGAUACCCGCUGAACUUAAGCAUAUCAAUAAGGCGGAGGAA
rnacentral:rRNA from 1 species